UCGCAUACAAUUAACUUGAUCUGUUGUGGUUUCUGUUGUUCAGUUGCUCAGUCGUGUGCGACUUUGCGACCCCAUGGACUGCAGCAUGCCAGGCUUCCCUGUUCUUCACUGUCUGCUGGAGUUUGCUCAAACUCACAUCUGUUGAGUCGGUGAUGCCAUCCAACCAACUCAUCCUCUGUCGUCCCCUAAUCUGGGCAAUUAAUAAGUGAUGAGGAUAUGGCUUGAUACACACGCACCAACUUGUGAAAGACUUGACAUUUUUUCUGCUCGGAGCUUUGCAGCCUGGAGCAUACGUGGCACCCGGCAUUGUUGCUUCCCUGGAAGAGGUUUGGAGAGAGCUGGGUGAGGCCUGUUCUAGGACUAGACUUGCCUGGUGUGGAGGGCAGAGGAAGAAAACAAAGAGUGGGCGAAAGACAAACAAAGCUGAAGGAGGGUUGUAAAAUAUGCAGAAGUAAACAGAAACCUGAAGAUAUCAACCAUCCUGGGUCCUGGUAUAAGGAUGAACAGUAUUUCUCCAAAUUCCUGUUCUUUCUGGACCCUCAGAAUGUCAGGAUGUGACCUUAUUAAGAAAUAAGCUGAUUUCAGGUGUGAUAAAUUAAGAUGAGAUCAUACUGGAUUAGUGAUGGUGAAAGUCACUCAGUAGUGUCCAACUCUUUGAGACCCUAUGGACUGUAG
rnacentral:lncRNA from 1 species